AGCGAACGCUGGCGGCAGGCCUAACACAUGCAAGUCGAGCGCCCCGCAAGGGGAGCGGCAGACGGGAGAGUAACACGUGGGGACGUACCCUUCAGUUCGGAACAACCAAGGGAAACUUUGGCUAAUACCGAAUACGUCCGUCAGGAGCACGAUUUAUCGCUGAAGGAUCGGCCCGCGUCAGAUUAGCUAGUUGGUGGGGUAAUGGCCCACCAAGGCGACGAUCAGUAGCUGGUCUGAGAGGAUGAUCAGCCUCACUGGGACUGAGACACGGACCAGACUCCUACGGGAGGCAGCAGUGGGGAAUAUUGGACAAUGGGCGCAAGCCUGAUCCAGCCAUGCCGCGUGGAUGAUGAAGGCCCUAGGGUUGUAAAGUCCUUUCGGCGGGGAAGAUAAUGACGGUACCCGCAGAAGAAGCCCCGGCUAACUUCGUGCCAGCAGCCGCAGUAAGAC
rnacentral:rRNA from 1 species